GAUGAACGCUGGCGGCGUGCCUAAUACAUGCAAGUCGAGCGAACGGACGAGAAGCUUGCUUCUCUGAUGUUAGCGGCGGACGGGUGAGUAACACGUGGAUAACCUACCUAUAAGACUGGGAUAACUUCGGGAAACCGGAGCUAAUACCGGAUGAUAUUUUGAACCGCAUGGUUCAAAAGUGAAAGACGGUCUUGCUGUCACUUAUAGAUGGAUCCGCGCUGCAUUAGUUAGUUGGUAAGGUAACGGCUUACCAAGGCAACGAUGCAUAGCCGACCUGAGAGGGUGAUCGGCCACACUGGAACUGAGACACGGUCCAGACUCCUACGGGAGGCAGCAGUAGGGAAUCUUCCGCAAUGGGCGAAAGCCUGACGGAGCAACGCCGCGUGAGUGAUGAAGGUCUUCGGAUCGUAAAACUCUGUUAUUAGGGAAGAACAUAUGUGUAAGUAACUGUGCACAUCUUGACGGUACCUAAUCAGAAAGCCACGGCUAACUACGUG
rnacentral:rRNA from 1 species